rnacentral:lncRNA from 1 species
UCAAAAUCUAAAAGGGUGUCUUUUACGUGCAAGAGAUAUGUCUCUCUCUUAACACAGGUCAGCCAUUUAUCGUCCCCUUCUGACGGUCUAUCAUCGUUUCCUCAAGACCAUACUUGCAACUGGUUUCAAAAAUACUAAUGAAAUUUUGUUUUUUAAUCAUUAGAGAAACAGAUUUUUACAUGGCUACUUAUCUUGAUUGGACAA